AAUUGCUUAUAUAUUUUUCAAAACUUUGAAAAUAUUUCAUUUACUCCUUUCUUUUUUUUUCCAAUAUACCCCUCAUAUGUUCUUCUGUUAUUCCAAAAUACUCCUGCAGUUACCAGCCGUUAAGUUAUUACUUUUAUCCUUAACUUAAGGACAAAUAAGAAAUGUUUGUGAUAGUAAAAGAGUAUAUUUGAAAAAAUCAAAAAAUAAAAAUAUUUUUUGUGCCCCUAACUUAAGGGCAAAUAAAAAAAUUCGGUGAUUGUAGAAGAGUAUAUUUAAAAGUGCAAAAUAGUAAUUUCAUAGAGAUAAUAGAGUUUAUUAACAGAUUUUUGAAAUAGGUUGGAGCGUAAAAAAGAUAUUUUCAAUAUUAUCUUUUUAAGAGAGUAAAUCAGAAAGUCGAAAACUUUUCAGAGAUAUAUAAGCAAUUG
rnacentral:lncRNA from 1 species